rnacentral:lncRNA from 1 species
CUGAUUUGGUUUGUUCCAGAGUUUUCUGUAGGUAGAGCGUCUAGAGCCGACACGCAGCAUCACAGCCGAGUGAAGAUGGCGGCUCAGAGAGUGAUGCUGUCAACGAGAGUUUGAGUUCACCUCUCAUUUUUAAACUUCUUAAACCUUUGAGGAUCCCUUACGGAUAGCUGUGUCAAAGAAAACUAUAUCGGUCGCUGCUCCUGACCAUUUAACAAUGGAAACUCAUGUUCUUCCAGAGCCUCUUCAUUUCACAGCCCACACUGCACUUCUGUCAUUGUGAGAAAUUCAGUCUCAGGUCUUUGGCUCUGCUGAUAGACUCCCUCCAGUAAGCUCCGCUGGAGAAGCAGAGAUACUCCUAUUACUGGCCUUUAUGAAGGAGAGCAGUUCAACAACAAUCAGCUUUGUACCACUUAAGAGGCAGGAUGCUGAUUUGUUACCACUGGCGUGCUCAGACUGGCUUCUGGAGGUCUAAUUUCCCCGCAGAUUGAGGAUCUAACUCUAAUCAAACUCACCUGAACUAGCUAAUCAAGGUCUUUGGGUUCACUUGAAAAUUACAGACAGGUGCUUGCAGCAGCACCAGAGCUAAACUCGGCAGGAGUGUUGAUCUUCAGGAGCAGGAUGGAUCACUGCUGUCUUGGCUGAAACUAAAGGCACCUGCCUUGCUGCCUAGGAAACCGAAUUGGCUUCAGAAGGCUUUCAUAACUUGAGUAUGUUUUGUGUGAUACAUUAGUGAAUAUUUAAUGACUAUACAAUAAUUUCAG